rnacentral:sRNA from 1 species
GUCACUUCCUUUUUCUGUCCACUCUGGUAACUUAUUCCUCUGCUGGGCUCUUUCCCUUAGGGUCUCUGGCCCUGUUCUUGCCCCAGCAUGACUUUUAUCGGGACGCCGUUGUGGAAGCCUCACGCAGGAGCCCUGCCCCCGUGGAGAAGAUCCCACUGGUGACUCCAACCCUACCACCAUGAAUGGGGUCCUGAUCCCCCAUACGCCCAUCGCAGUGGACUUCUGGAGCCUGCGCCGGGCUGGCACCGCACGGCUCUUCUUCUUGUCUCACAUGCAUUCGGACCACACCGUGGGCCUGUCUAGCACCUGGGCCCGGCCCCUCUACUGCUCCCCAAUUACAGCCCACCUCUUGCAUCGUCACCUACAGGUGAUUUUCGAUACACACCAUCCAUGCUAAAGGAGCCAGCUCUGACACUGGGGAAACAGAUCCAUACUUUAUACCUAGACAACACCAAUUGCAACCCAGCCCUGGUUCUUCCUUCCCGACAAGAAGCUGCCCACCAGAUUGUCCAGCUUAUUCGAAAACAUCCACAACAUAACAUAAAGAUUGGACUCUACAGCCUGGGAAAGGAAUCACUGCUGGAGCAGCUGGCCCUGGAGUUUCAGACCUGGGUGGUAUUGAGUCCUCGGCGCCUGGAGUUGGUACAGCUACUGGGCCUGGCAGAUGUGUUCACAGUGGAGGAGAAGGCUGGCCGCAUCCAUGCCGUAGACCAUAUGGAGAUCUGCCAUUCCAACAUGCUGCGUUGGAACCAGACCCACCCUACCAUUGCUAUCCUUCCCACAAGCCGAAAAAUCCACAGCUCCCACCCUGAUAUCCACGUCAUCCCUUACUCUGACCAUUCCUCCUACUCUGAGCUUUGUGCCUUUGUCGCAGCACUGAAGCCUUGCCAGGUGGUGCCCAUUGUCAGUCGGCGGCCCUGUGGAGGCUUUCAGGACAGUCUGAGCCCCAGGAUUUCCGUGCCCCUGAUUCCGGACUCUGUACAGCAAUACAUGAGUUCUUCCUCUAGAAAACCAAGCUUUCUCUGGCUGUUAGAAAGGAGGCUAAAGAGGCCGAGAACCCAAGGUGUUGUGUUUGAAUCCCCUGAGGAAGGUGCUGAUCAAUCUCAAGCUGACAGAGACUCAAAGAAGGCCAAGAAAGAGAAACUUUCUCCCUGGCCUGCGAACCUUGAAAAGCAGCCUUCCCACCAUCCUUUGAGGAUCAAGAAGCAGUUGUUCCCAGACCUCUAUAGCAAAGAAUGGAACAAGGCAGUGCCUUUCUGCAGGGUAUUCUUCCAGGAGCUUUGACCAGCAAGUGGAAAAAUACCAUAAACCCUGCUGAAGACAGGAGAGUAUAGAAUGACAACAUUGAGCCCACACUGCAGUUUUGAAGAUAGUAACUGAUGGCUGGUGGGAAAGAGUUUGUUUUUGGGGCCUGCUUUUCUAUCUUUACAAGACUCUUAUGGACCCACCGCAGAGCAGCACUUCCCAAAACUUGUUCACUGGGGUCCUCGUGCCUAUGGAAUCCUUCGUUUUAUAAUUGAGUAUGUUUAAGAAAUACUUUUUGUUAUAAAAUCUUUGGAGUACACGUGAGCAAAUUAAAAGUUCUUUGAAGUCCUACAGCAACUUAAUCUGUUUAACCUUGUUUAACCCAGUAUUUCUCAAACUUCUGUGAACAUGCAAUCCUCUUAUGUGGGUACAGAAAGAGGUAAAGAGUCUGAAUCAAAAAGGACCAGGUUAUUCCUGUUGCUGUUUUGUGGUGUCAUGAGCCAUUCUCCAUGUCCCCUUCUCCCUCUUCUCAGAUCAAAAUCCCUAGGGAGUUCUAUUUUUAAAAUUAUGAACUAUGGCGCUGCAUGCUUCAAUCCUGAACGUCACUGACUUGCUGUGACCUCCAUCCAAAUAAUUUCCUGUCUCUGCCUCUGGGAGGGAACAGGAAGCAAUGAAGAGGUCUUGGAACAGUAGUGAAAAUUCUGCCUCUAUGUCCUUCAUGAGGAUGUGCAGUAUCCCAGUAUCACUGGGAUCCAUGUGGAACAGAGCCAGCUCGGGGGCUGGGCAGCUCUCUCCAAGGCAGUACCUAGAACCCAGCUGAACAACAAGGCUUUGGGUGUGAAGGGACUCCCCGGCCUGGAGACCCUAUUUGGCUGAAACAGUUACAAAAUAUCAAAUGUGUUGUCAGAUAUUCCUCCAAUUGUUCACAUAGCUGGGAUAUUUGUUGCUCCCCCCACCCCUUGGAUUGUGUAGGGAGCCAGAGCACACAGCCUGUUUGUUUUAGUAUCCAAGGAAGACACCGAGGAGCCAGCUGGCGGGAAGGGAUGGGGGUGUGCAGUCUGCCCUGUCCUUCUGCUCAUAACCUGACAAAAUGCCAAACUAGUAAGCGGGAUAGCUGAUACCACGGCUAUGAGGGAAUAGGCUCUGAGAGGGCACAGACUUGUGGAGCUGGGCAUCUGGAUCAAAACUGCUUUGGGAUGGAACCUCGAGCCCUAGCAAUGAAGAAGGUUCCAUUUCUUGUCCAGGGGAUUUGAAAGAGUUUUCUGCUUUGAGAGAGAAAUAGAGAGUUUAGAAAGCAAUUGCUCUUGGGAAAGCUGUACACAGCUCUGUUUUGUCAAUGACCUUUGUUGUAAGUCUCCCAACGUCCUAUUAGGAGCCACAGCAGGUGAGGCAUUUGGUGCAGCAGGAAACAUGGGCACUACCUAGGCUCGAAUCUGUGGCACCCUGAGCAAUUACUUAAAUUGUGGAGCCUAGUUCCUCAUCUGUAAGAUGGACUUGAGAUUCCUACCUCUCAUGAUUACUAUGGAGAUCAAAUAAUUGGUAAAAUUCUCCUAGCUCAGUGACUGCCACAGGAUGGGUCUUUCAGAUUUUGGUUCUCUUUAGCUUCUGGUUCUUGAAAGAAAUUAAUCUGUAUAUAACAUAAGAAACUUUGAAUGUCAAAAAAAAUAGAGAAAAAAUUUUAAUUCCUCGUAGAUUAAUUGAUUUGCUUUCUUUUAGUUUUUUUUUCUAUGCAUGUAGAUGUAUUAAAUAUGUAAAUGUUUUUCAAAGUUGAGGUAAUAUUGUAUACAAUUUUAUAGCCUACAUUUUAAUUUCUUGAUAUCUUAAGCAUUUCACUUAUUAGAUGUUGUUCAAAAAUGUCAUUUUUAAUAUUUGUAUAAUACCUUAUCAUGUGAGUAUACCUUAACUAAGCUAUUCCCAUAUUCAACAUUUUGUGUACUGUUUUUCUAAUUACAUAUAUUACAAUGAACAACCUUAUGCAUA